rnacentral:rRNA from 1 species
GACGAACGCUGGCGGCGUGCUUAACACAUGCAAGUCUAGGAGAAGUUUCGCUUCGGUGGAACGGAUACUGGCGAACGGGUGAGUAACGCGUAUGCAAUCUGCCCUUGAUCCGGGGAUAACACUUCCAACGAGGUGCUAAUACCCGAUGACGCAGCGGCACCGCAUGGUGACAGUUGUUAAAGUUUCGACGAUCAAGGAUGAGCAUGCGUCCCAUUAGGUAGUUGGUAAGGUAACGGCUUACCAAGCCUGCGAUGGGUAGCUGGUCUGAGAGGAUGAUCAGCCACACUGGGACUGAGACACGGCCCAGACUCCUACGGGAGGCAG